rnacentral:rRNA from 1 species
UCCGAGUGGUGUGGAUGUCUAUUGGGCCUAAAWCAUCCGUAGCUGGCUAGGUCAGUCCCUUGUUAAAUCCACCGAAUUAAUCGUUGGAUUGCGGGGGAUACUGCUUGGCUAGGGGACGAGAGAGGCAGACGGUAUUUUCKGGGUAGGGGUGAAAUCCUAUAAUCCCGGGAAGACCACCAGUGGCGAAGGCUGUCUGUUAGAACGCGCCCGACGGUGAGGGAUGAAAGCUGGGGGAGCGAACCGGAUUAGAUACCCGGGUAGUCCCAGCUGUAAACGAUGCAGACUAGGUGUUUGUACGGCCACGUGCCGUUCUAGUGCCGCAGGGAAGCUGUUAAGUCUGCCGCCUGGGGAGUACGAUCGCAAGAUUGAAACUUAAAGGAAUUGGCGGGGGAGCACCACAAGGGGUGAAGCUUGCGGUUUAAUUGGAGUCAACGCCGGAAAUCUCACCGGGAGCGACAGCAGUAUGAAGGCCAGAUUAAAGGUCUUGCCAGACGAGCUGAGA